GGGUCCAGCCUAUUGUGACUGAGCGAGAAGGGCCAGACACAACCUGGAUCCCUCCCUAGCUGGCCAACCUCCUCUGUCCCUCUCUAGGCCCGAUCGUGCACCGGUGGGGUCCCUCAUCCUGGCCUGCACCCUCUUGCAAUCCUGGACCCCUUGGGGGAUGUUGGAGAGCCAGCCGAGGGACCCCACUGGUGCACAAAUCCGUGCAUGGGGUCUCUAGUGUUUAUAUAUUUACUAGUACAUCUACCACUUUUUAAAAAACACGAAUAGUGGGAUAUCAUAUGCACUGUUGCACAAAUUAACCCUAGUGUAUUUAAAUCAUCUGUUUACGUAUAUGUAUGUCAUUUCAAUAGUUUGUAUUUCAAACAGAAAUGAUUGUACGGAAGUUAUUUCAUGCCCCACUGUAUAUUUGUAGAUUAAAUUCCUAGAGCAGGUUUUUUAAACCUUGGCACCACUGAUAUUUUGGGCUGGAUAAUUCUUUGUUGUGAGAGGCCAUCCUGUGCAUUACAGG